rnacentral:rRNA from 1 species
UACGUAGGGGGCAAGCGUUGUCCGGAUUUAUUGGGCGUAAAGAGCGUGUAGGCGGCAUACAGGUCCGUUGUUGAAAACUCGAGGCUUAACCUCGAGACGUCGAUGGAAACCGUAUGGCUAGAGUCCGGAAGAGGAGAGUGGAAUUCCUGGUGUAGCGGUGAAAUGACGCAGAUAUCAGGAAGAACACCCGUGGCGAAGGCGGCUCUCUGGGACGGUACUGACGCUGAGACGCGAAAGCGUGGGGAGCGAACAGG